GACCCCGCACAAGCGGUGGAGCAUGUGGUUUAAUUCGAUGCAACGCGAAGAACCUUACCUGCCCUUGACAUCCUCGGAAGGGACCGGAAACGGACCUGUGCCUUCGGGAACCGAGAGACAGGUGCUGCAUGGCUGUCGUCAGCUCGUGUCGUGAGAUGUUGGGUUAAGUCCCGUAACGAGCGCAACCCCUAUCCUUAGUUGCCAGCACGUAAUGGUGGAACUCUAGGAGACUGCCGGUGACAAACCGGAGAAGGUGGGGACGACGUCAAGUCAUCAUGGCCCUUAUGGGCAGGGCUACACACGUGCUACAAUGGCCGGUACAAAGGGCAGCGAAGCCGCAAGGUGGAGCG
rnacentral:rRNA from 1 species